CUGCUGCUGCCGCUGCCUGCAGAGAGCAGGGGCGCAGAUGGGAAGAGGCUGCAGCUGCGGGGCAGGUGCCAUCCCCCGCUGCCGCAGGAGGGGCAGCAGCCCCCUCGGGCAGCUCGCCGGCUCAGGCGGGGAUUUGGUUGUGACAGCCCAGCUCCAUGUCGGGGCAUGCAAGUCGCAGGAGGCUGCACUUGGCAGAAGCUGCUGCCAGAGAAAGGGGCCAAGGAGCAACUGAGCAUGGAUGCUUCUACAGAGGGGAUGUGGAGUGUGACACGGGAAACAACCAAGUGCCAAGAUCUUGAUCCAGCCCCAGAGCUGCUAACUGCCGAUUAUCCCAAGAUCUGUUACCAUCAGAAGCAUCAAAAAUAUUAGCUCUCCCGGAAUCACUGAGUGGCAGAAACUAGAAGCAGGGAAGAAUCGCUCUGUAUGCUCUGUUUAUGACAUUUCUUCAGCGCCUCUCAUUGGCCACUGCUGCAGAUAGGGUGUUGGACGAGAGGGACUCCAGGUCUGGAUUCACUGAGAUGAACACAAAUCCCUUUCUCUAAUUCUGUAAUCCCAAUAUUCAAGCGCUGCCAGCAAAUCUGGCCCGGGCACAAUUCUCAUUGUUGCUAUCUAUUGGAACUAUUGCUAUUAUUAUUGGAACGUCUAUGCAGAAUUUUGGAGACAAGCAGAUAUUUGCCUUUCUGUGACAUGAGUCAGC
rnacentral:lncRNA from 1 species